CAAGCCUCUAAAAGUCUGGGCGUACGAGCUUUCGCCUUUCUGUAAGAUCGUACGAGAAAGGCUGGUUGAAUUGGAGCUCCCUCACGUUUACUACAAUGCCGCUCGUGGAAGUCCCAAACGAAAUUAUCUCUUGGAACGGACUGGAAUUUUUCAGGUUCCUUUCUUAGAAGACCCCAACACCGGCGUGGAGAUGUUUGAAAGC